UUCUUAACAGAGUAUUUGGUAACUUUCUGAUUUUCUCUACUUGAUCAGGAUUAACCCCCAGUUCACAGCAACUCACUCUGAGCAAUUCCUGGUAGAGUUUCUACACUGACGUGGUCUUUUCAUCAAGAAUUCUUUGAAGUCCUCUAUUCCAUUAAAGAUCCAAUCCCCACCCCUUGGUAAGUUGUUAUUGAAUGUAUACAAAUAUCAUCUGUCUUCUGGAAUAUUGUAUUCCAAGUUUUCCAUUCUUUUAUAAUUGUGGCUGCUAUAUGAAAAUAUGCUCCAAAUCAUUAUUAAUCAGAGAAAUGCAAAUUAAGACAACUCUGAGAUACCACAACACACCUGUCAGAUUGGCUAGAGUGACAGGGAAAAAUAAUGUGGAAUGUUGGAGGGGAUGUGGGAAAACUGGGACACUGAUACAUUGUUGGUGGAAUUGUGAACACAUCCAGCCAUUCUGGAGAGCAAUUUGGAACUAUGCUCAAAAAGUUAUCAAACUGUGCAGACCCUUUGAUCCAGCAGUGUUUCUACUGGGCUUAUACCCCAAAGAGAUACUAAAGAAAGGAAAGGGACCUGUAUGUGCCAAAAUGUUUGUGGCAGCCCUGUUUGUAGUGGCUAGAAGCUGGAAAAUGAAUGGAUGCCCAUCAAUUGGAGAAUGGUUGAGUAAAUUGUGAUAUAUGAACGUUAUGGAAUAUUAUUGUUCUGUAAGGAAUGACCAGCAGGAUGAAUACAGAGAGGACUGGUGAGACUUACAUGAACUGACGCUGAGUGAAAUGAGCAGAACCAGGAGAUCAUUAUAUACCUCAACAACGAUACUGUUUGAAGAUGUAUUCUGAUGGAAGUGGAUCUCUUCGAUAAAGAGAGUUAAUUCAGUUUCAAUUGAUCAAGGAUGGACAGAAGCAGCUACACCCAAAGAAAGAACACUGGGAAAUGAAUAUAAACUGCUUGCAUUUUUUUUUUUCUUCCCAGGUAAUUUAUACCUUCUGAAUCCAAUUCUCCCUGUGCAACAAGAGAACUGUUCGGUUCUGCACACAUAUAUUGUAUCUAGGAUAUACUGUAACCUAUUCAACAUGUAAAGGACUGCUUGCCAUCUGGGGGAGGGGAUGGAGGGAGGGGAAAAAUCGGAACAGAAGUGAUUGCAAGGGAUAAUGCUGUAAAAAAAUUACCCUGACAUGGGUUCUGUCAAUAAAAAGUUAUUUAAAAAAAAAAAA